AANCGACUCUCGGCAACGGAUAUCUCGGCUCACGCAUUGAUGAAGAACGUAGCAAAAUGCGAUACUUGGUGUGAAUUGCAGAAUCCCGUGAACCAUCGAGUUUUUGAACGCAAGUUGCGCCCGAAGCCAUUCGGCCGAGGGCACGUCUGCCUGGGCGUCACGCA
rnacentral:rRNA from 1 species